rnacentral:tRNA from 2 species
GGAGAGAUGUCCGAGUGGUCGAAGGAGCACGCCUGGAAAGUGUGUAUACGCCAAAAGCGUAUCCAGGGUUCGAAUCCCUGUCUCUCCG